rnacentral:sRNA from 1 species
GACUAUCGCUCAGCUACCCGAUCAGAUUGGCGCGAAAGGCGUCGAAACCGCAGAUAAAGUGCUGAAAGGCGAGAAAGUUCAGGCUAAGUAUCCGGUUGAUCUGAAACUGGUUGUUAAGCAGUAGUUUUAAUCAGGUUGUAUGACCUGAUGGUGACAUAAAUACGUCAUCGACAGAUGAACGUGUAAUAUAAAGAAAAGCAGGGCACGCGCCACCCUAACACGGUGGCGCAUUUU